CAAUGCUAUGAUGGUGACGAGAAAUCGGGAGUAUGUGAGGAAUUAAACUACUGGAACACUGUAGAGCCUGACCUACUUCAUAUGUUAAAAAGCACCUUAAUAAGCUAUCUAUCCCAAAGAAAUCUGGCCUAAUUGCAGUACACCCUCAUUGAUGAUAGAUUUUUGGAGCACAGACCUUUGGAAAAUCUGUCACUAAUCUUGAAAGAAGAUUCUUUCCUGAAGUUACUCCUCUUUGAAGUAGCGCUGCAUUUUCCCUUGAAAGGAGAAGAAUGACGUACAACCAAAAAGAUAUGCAAAAUUAUAAAUAACUCCAACUUCAUAUUUUAAUAUAGUGCCGCCAUGGAAACCUAAUGACUGGGCAGCUGUUCUUCUUCAUCUCAUAGUGAAACUUAAAGAUUCAAAGCUAUAUUACAAGUAUUUUAAUUGCGAUCUUUCGAUAGAAUCUUUAAAUAAAAGAACUGGGAUCUUGUUGGAAGGUGGAAGUCAACAGACUGAUGUUCACAAUCAUCUACAUCCACCUCUGUUUGAUAAUAGAAGUUUUGUUUUACAGUGAUUUUUCAAAAUAUUUUGUGUGCAAUGUAAUCAAAGGUUCUGAAGAAGAACUAAAUUUUUCUCUGUUGUUAAUAAACAAAAACCUCAUGAGAACAUCUCAGGAAACAAAAAAUUGUUAUGGCUGAAAAACUCUGAACCAGUGAUACUGAUGAACUCCCCUCUUCAUACAACAUUUUUAUUGUCUUGCUUUAAAUGUGAAUUUACAGUGGAAUUUUUGAGGUGGGGAGACCAUUGUCUAUUUGUCUCCAUUUCCAGCCUCGCUGCAAAACAAAAGUGUGUGAAAGGAAUCACAAGGCAGUCAUGCAGCAGCCAGAGUAUAUGUUGACAUCCUCACCAGCUGAGACUACUUCCAUCUUGCUGCUAAACAUGAGGCAAAGCCUCAUCACCCGGACCAAGGGGAACGUCUCUAACAGAGGACAUGACACAAGGAAGAGCUUAAACUUCCCUUUCCAUUGUCUCUUCCUGUUCAUACUGAAGAUUAGUUAUGAUCAGUGAAAUCAGUGAAUUAGAAAUCAUAAAAUGAGGUAACACAUGAUGAUGUAUGUGGUCAAUAAAACAUAAACUUUAUACUUGUUCCUGGUCAAAUAUCAGGCUGAAAGAAUAGGAUUUAGGCUACAAUUCAGACAGUCAUUUACUUGAGGAGAUUUAAGAUGCCGUAAUUCUUCAUGAGAAAUAAUUCUUGUCAGUAGCUGUGCUAAAUUAGCAUAAAAGCUUGUCUGUAGACAUGCUGUUUUCAACAAGAUUUUUUAGGGAUUGCAAGGGAGAAGGGUUUCCAUGUAUCAAGAAACAUACGUAUUAAGAAACGCAUGGAAAGCAGCAGAAGUGCCUCUUGUGGUUAAGACUUCCCAUAGUCAUAGACCAAGUCUGAUUGUAUGCCCGUCUGAAAGGCUUCUUAGAGAUCACUCCUGUUAUAAUCUCUUUCAGAGCAAAUAACUUGCCAUCCGAGCCAAGCUGCGUUUGUUUUCUUUCUUGUACGGCUGCCCUCCCUGGCAAGCCUUACGCUGAGGGUAGGCAGUUACGGUAUGUGUUCAACUUAUGGGAAGCAGGAUUAACGUUUUCCUCACCAGUAGUUUACGAAUUAUCAUAGGAUAAAAAGAAAGACUGUAUUCCACCCACCUCUCCGUUAUGAUGUUCAGAGAUCACUGCCAAAAGCCAAUACCCCGUGUUCUUAUAAAAACUCAGUGUUGUGUAGUAACACACUACCCACCUGGUAAACAAGAAGAUGCAGAUCAUUAAUAUCAAUAAUUAAUUGAAAUUUAUCUGAGUUCCUAUAGUGAUCCCAUAGCUCAGAUCAAUUGCAAAGACUGAGAUCAGCUGAGUUGGAACCCUGAAACUUUCACAAAUCUAACUAAGACUUGAGUUUUGGUUCUAGCCAGUCUUUCUGCUACCACUCUCUUCUCCACACUAUCAUAUACUCUGGUGGCAAAAUGUCAGUCCUUCUGCUUGUGUUUUGAACCAAAGUUAAGUGGUGGUUCUAGCUUUCUCCUGCAGGCAUGAUACCAAGUAAGAUAAGAAAUAUACCACUAAGAACCAAAAUAAAAUUUUCUAUUCCAUUCAGUUUCUAUUCCAGCUCUAUCAUUUCUCCUCGUGGAAUUGCACAAAUGACCAGGGUUGUAAUAAAUGUUUUAUUUACAUCUGCGACUUGCAAAUCUUGUACAUACUAGCAUUUUCCAAAAACGUACAUAAUCUAUGUUGCUUAUUUGCAUAAUUGUAGCGUUUUACAGCAUACAAACUGCUUAACUAUAUUUUAAUGAAAGUAUUUAACUGAAUGGCUUUGAGACUUUUUUGUAAUUAUGCCUGAACUUAAGAUAAUAUUGAAACUUGAUAAUUAUAAGAGUAUUGCAAGCCAGCAGAGAAUCUCAGUUACAGUACAAAAUAUGAGCUUCUUAAACUCAUCUGUAUCCUUCUGCUUAAUUUUCACUUAUAUUACGACACUUUUCUCUUUACAGGAAGUUAUCACUGUUUUCUUUCAGAUAUAAAGCUUUGGUCCUUAGAGAAAUUAAGAUAAAACUCAGUCAUUAGGCUUUGGUUAGUGUCUAGAUUUUAUGUAAAAUAUGUUAAUAAAUGGUGUAAGAAAAAAAUCCUCAGAAGUUAAAACAUGCAUGAAAUUAAUAUAAAACUUUCUCUGAGUCUGGUAUUGAUAAUUACAUCACACAUUUGCUUUAAUACCGCACAUGAAAAAUUUUUUCCAGGUCUUUUUUUCUCCUAUUAAUUUCCUGCAUGUGUUAAGUCCAGUUCUUCAGCCAGUAAGCAGACUAGUCAGCUUUCCUGAAAUGGGGCCACAGGAAUGAGCUUCAUGUCAUCUCUUCGCGUUCCAUCUGCAAGCCUUCUCCCUAUGUUUUUGGAAAAGAUUACAUAUUUACCACCUCUCUAAAUUAUUCUAAUACAUUAAAAUAUCUUGCUAUUUGUGCAUAAAGUGUGAUUAACAGUAGAGAUUUGAAGGAGUGAAUUGGCACAAUAAAGACUAUUUAUUUGUUCUGCUGAAUAUUAAAAGGGACAUGUGUUAGGAAGAAGAGGAAUAAUGAAAAGAUACUUUGACAAAGGCCUACGUAACUUCUGUCAGCCCAGCUACUCCUUGGUACAUCAGUGCUAUUAUCUUGCUUAUCAUUAAACAAAAUGCUUCAGCACUCUGAGAACUACUGUUCUAUAAAGAAACAAAACAAGCCCUUUCUGUUUAUUUCUAAGUGCAAGAGAUUACAGAAUUUUUUCCUCUUUGCCAACAGCUGUGUUCUUCACAGGAUUUCUUUUUUCCUGCAUCCAUUCCUGGAAAUACUGA